UCAGUCGACUCCUACGGGGAGGCAGCAGUGGGGAAUAUUGCACAAUGGGGGAAACCCUGAUGCAGCCAUGCCGCGUGUGUGAAGAAGGCCUUCGGGUUGUAAAGCACUUUCAGUAGGGAGGAAGGUAGUGUAGUUAACACCUGCAUUAUUUGACGUUACCUACAGAAGAAGCACCGGCUAACUCCGUGCCAGCAGCCGCGGUAAUACGGAGGGUGCGAGCGUUAAUCGGAAUUACUGGGCGUAAAGCGCAUGCAGGCGGCCUGUUAAGUCAGAUGUGAAAGCCCGGGGCUUAACCUCGGAAUUGCAUUUGAAACUGGCAGGCUAGAGUCUUGUAGAGGGGGGUAGGAAUUUCAGGCGUAGCGGUGAAAUGCGUAGAGAUCUGAAGGAAUACCAGUGGCGAAGGCGGCCCCCUGGACAAAGACUGACGCUCAGAUGCGAAAGCGUGGGGAGCAAACAGGAUUAGAUACCCUGGUAG
rnacentral:rRNA from 1 species